rnacentral:lncRNA from 1 species
UGAAGCAGAGCGAAUCCAAUCCAUUUCAGAGCCAAAAAGUUAUAUUGAUGGAAUGUCGUUACCUUUUGAUGUACUGAUUCAAUGUAAAGAAGUAUCCGUCUUGUUCUAUGCCCUUGAAAUGGGGCCUUAUUCUUAAUUGAAAUUCAGUCUCUCGGUUAAAUCACUUAUGACCUUUAAAGUGUAUGUUAAUGCAAGUCCUGUGCCCAUGAGCCAUUUUUCUGAGUUGGCUCCACGGCUAUUAUUGCAUCAACGAGUCAGAUAUGCAAUUUAAUCUCCAAGACUAAAUCACUAUGUUCGGAAACAGUUAUGUCAGAAAUAGACAUCGUCAUUGAGAAUUCCAUCGACUUAUUCAACGGUAUUGUGGAAAAUAUCGAUAAAAGCUAAUAACCAUCCUUAUUUUUUUUUUGACUGACCAACUGCAAUUUUGUAAAUCUAGAAUAGGACCUAGGAAAUACUACCAAAGCUUGCUUGCAAUGGCUCUUAUGAGAAAAAGGGCAUCGACAUCUUUUUAUAAACGUAUAUCGAGAUAAGGAAUAGUAAAAUACCAUCUAUUCAGUGGUUAACAAGGCUUUCAAGGUAGUUUACAGUCGAUACAGGACUUAGUCCUCAAACUAUAAAAUAUUUAGAACAAAGAAUAAAUAAUCUCAACGGUAGAGAAAGAAGUGUAACCCUUAUUAUGGAUGAAGUAUAUUGUGCUAAAGUUUGUGAGUAUACAGGAGGGAAAUUGUACGGCAUUGCACAUGGAGGGGAAACACCAACCAAGACUUUGAUUUGUGUGAUGAUCAAUAACUUAACUAAAAAACAUGAAGACACUAUUACAAUGGUACCUUUGAAAGAAUUAGACUCCAAAGUUCUGGGGAAAUUAUUCCACCUAAUUGUAGAAACAAUUACACCUGCAGGUUUGGAGCCAGUUGCAUCACUGUUAGAUGGAUAUUCAGCAAACCGAAAAUUUUACACUCAAGAGCUAUUUAACUGCACAUUGAGUACGCAUAUUGUCUGCCCUCGCAAUAGUGCGAAAAAGUUAUUUUUGUUCUUUGAUUCAGUGCAUAUACAACAGCAACAGUUUUUAAAAUGUCCUUCGUUUGAUGGUGAAGAAAUGAUUACUGAAUUUAUCCAUAUAAAAAAAUGAUAUCAUCUCGAGCAAACAAAACUUGUGAAGUAUGCACACAAAUUGAAUGACAAAGUUCUUAACCCUCAUCCCAUUGAAACCCCCAAGGUCCAGCUAACAAAUACAUUGUUCCAUGAAAAUACCAUUGAUGGUUUUGAAUUUUAUGCAAAGAAUGGUUACCCUGAAUUCCAAACAACUGCAAAGCUUUUGAAUCUUAUUAGGCACUGGGGGAAUUUAUUCAACGUUAAAUCUUCAAUUACAGACCUAAAAAAAGAAAGAUCCGAAUCGUGAGCCCAUAACACCAUUUAAUUUUGAAGAAAAGAAUACUUUUUUGCAAAAAAUUUAUUAAUUGGUUGGAGAAUUUUCGAACAAACUCAUCAAAAGAAAAUUGUUUUAGUUUAGAAACAUUUUUGACAUUCAUCCAAACAAACUUCUGCUAUGAUGGCCUUGACUCAAUAUUUAAUUUUCAAUAAAAAUUUUAGUUAUGUUUUGACUGGACAAAUUGAGUUAGACCCAUUGGAACGAAAGUUUGGCUUCUAUCGAUAUAGUAUUAGAUGCAACUAUUACACAAGUGUGAGACAGUUCCUUAAAACCGAAAGGUCUGUACAAUUAUCUUCCCUUAUCAAGUUUAGCGAAAUAAGAUUAGUCGACAUUCGUGAACAUUUUAUUCAGAAAUGUAAGGAUGAUCUUUUUACUACUACAGAUUUUCUUCUGGAAAACGAUAUUGUGCAAUAUCUAUUUUUUCUAUAGUUAAAUGUUCCUUUUGUAAACUUUACUUAAUAAGUGAAGAGGACAACUCUCAAAGUAAACUUUCAAUCCUAUCUCUGUUUGACGAAAUCAAUAACCACACCCUUGAAUAACCUAAGGAUUUUAUCAGAAAUAUAUCAAGAGGAUCUUUAACAGAACCAUCAGACGAACUAUUUAUACUGAUUUAGGAAGCCUGGAAAUCUUAUGUAUCUAUUUUUCAAUCCAUUGAACAUGAAAUAAUACUUUUAAAUCAUUCAAACCCACGAAAUCACUUUGUUGAAAGCUUCAUUCAGUACUUAAAAAAUGAGUCUAGUUUUUAGCUUGACCGACAAUGCUUGACAAUUUUGCUAAAGAAAUUAAUAACUUAAUUCAUGAAAGCCGAAGAAACAUGCAAAAACAGCAAAAAAAAGUAUUUUGGAUGAGGUAAAAAAGUUGAAAUCUGAGAAGAAAUAAGGUCUAUGACAUUAAUUUGGCUUUGCAAUAUAUAUUUAUUUAAUUAUACCGGAUUGUAUGAUUCAUUAUUUCUUUAUAAGGGUCGAAUUUAAGUGCAUAGCUUGAGGUCCAUAUAUCAAGUAUUUUUCAUACUUGUAUCUAAUUUAUAUUUUAUUUUACUAAAAUGUAGAUAAAAUGAGUGACAUUCAGACUUAUUUAUAGUAAUACAUAGCUUUAAGAGUAACCCCCCUUAAUUUACAAGUUAUAUUUUGUUUUGAGUCCAUAUAUAUAUAGUAGUCAUUGGAGAAUUAUAUAACCUGAACACUUCAACCUCAAUUCUUAAUUCCUCAUUACUUGUGAGUCUCUUUUGUCAUUCUAUAACCAGUGGAAGAUGAUUCUAGACUUUUGAAGAUAUUGUGCUUCACUUUUAUCGAUAUUUUUGUUUGCAAUGCAUAUUCUAUUAUAAUUUGUAUAUUUAUUUCUGUCUAAAAAUGUCUCAUUUAAUUUUGCAAGUGUAUAAUUUAUAUAUGUGUCACUAAUAAUUUGAUGAACAUGAAGCUGAAGAGAGAAUCAGACUGAAUGUAGCAUGUAUAUCAAAAUAAAAAAUAUGAACUCGA